rnacentral:rRNA from 1 species
AUUGAACGCUGGCGGCAGGCCUAACACAUGCAAGUCGAGCGAGCGGCGGACGGGUGAGUAAUGUCUGGGAAACUGCCUGAUGGAGGGGGAUAACUACUGGAAACGGUAGCUAAUACCGCAUACCAUCAGAUGUGCCCAGAUGGGAUUAGCUAGUGGGUGGGGUAACGGCUCACCUAGGCGACGAUCCCUAGCUGGUCUGAGGGGAUGACCAGCACACCGGGAACUGAGCAACGGCCCAGCCUCCUACGGGAGGCAGCGGUGGGGAAUUUCGCACAAGGGGCGAAAGCCGGAUGCGGCAAUGCGGCGGAUGGGAGAAGGGCCUUCGGGUUGUAAAGUACGUUCAGCGGGGAGGCGUUACCCGCAGAAGAAGCACCGGCUAACUCCGUGCCAGCAGCCGCGGUAAUAC